rnacentral:lncRNA from 13 species
ACAACACUUGUUUGGUAUGAAUUCAGUCUUGUAUUCAGUCUUGUAUUAAGUAAUGUUUAAAAACAGAGCCCCUAGUCAUCAUUUUGUAAUUUUCAUAUUUGUAACAUUCCAGUAUUACAAAAAAUAAGUAGACCUAGGAAUGUUUUUGGGAAUUAAUAUGUGUGUGGGAUGUAUGUGUGGAUCAUAAAUCUAAUCAUCUAUUUAUGGAUUGCUGUAGGCAAGACAGGUUCGGAAAAGCCUGUACUGUCUGUCCCGCCAUUUCCCUCUUUCAGCCAGGUAAACCUGACGUCACAUCACCACAGAAACUUAGGUUGUCCUGUGGGUUUUCCCAUCAACUCCAAAAGUACGACUGCCCAAGCUAACAAGGAAGUCCCUCCUUCAGUUACGACUUAUUGGUUACCACCCGAAGGGUAAACAGCAGCAAUGAAGAGUCUCAAGUACCGUCUGAAAAAGCAUGAAGUUACGCUCACAGUAAGUUGAAUCAGAACUUUUUGUGAAUUGCACAUUCAUUUUUAGUUAUUAAGUACAGUGUAGCCUGACAUAUCGGACUCAAAUUAUAUCAACCAAGUUUUCCUGUUCCAAAGUUUCGAGCUUCCCAAACAAAAGCCUACCAACCCAAGCUAAUCGGGGUUUGGCUACAUCAAGCCCGUUUGUCAUGAUCGUGUUGUUAAUCAUUGUCUUAUUGACAAAUGCUUAAAACAAAAGUUUCACAUUGAAACAUGCUCGUUUAUCCAACUGUGUUCGUGGGCAGGGGAGUGGGGUUUUGAGAAAGGAUGUUGGAACAUACACCCACGACACGAGCGUCCAAUAGCGCCAAAUGUUCUCCCUAUGGAGGGCAUCGUGUCGUGUGUAAAUCUGUGCAACAAAGUUAGCAUUGUUUAGAAUCUCAAUCAGUCGGCACUUCAGGGCCAUUGAGCCUCAGCAAUAUCGAUCAAUGUCCUCUCUAACAGCAUGUAUUGUUUUAUUGCGUCGUAUUUUGUCGCUGGCUUGUAGGCGCCUAUAAAAGACAGGCAAUUUGAGACAACUGCAAGAUGCAGAUGUCACCUCUGACUGUACAGACUGCGAGAACCUUUCAUAGGCAACAUUACAAUAUCUUGUCAGGGGACUGUCGUGCCUUUACAUGUUCAAGGGCUACGCAAUUCCACACGGAUGUUAUGUCAUAUGGAUGCACUCUAAAAUACACUCUGAAAUGUAUGUGUAUGUAUAUAUACCGUGUAUGCUAUAUAUAUACUGUAUAUGCUAUAUAGUAGCCUAAUGUUGACUCUAUACCAAGAAUAUUUAGUUGUUGUACAGGUUAGGCCAGUAGGCCCACUAUUUAUUUCUGGAAGUGACCUGUAUGUUAUGUUAAGGGCAUGAGUGAGUAUCCCUUAGGCUAUUCCUGCUAUAUCCCAUACAGCCUGCAGGGUAGUAGUAUUAUGAUUGUACUCAGUUCAGCAGAAGUUGUGUGGAUGUUUGGCAGCGACAGCCCCUUCUCCCCACAGUAGGCUAAUUAACAUGAGAAAGGCACAAAGCCAAGUGCUGUUUAUUGUCCAAGUUUGUGGCUCAGUCCCUAGAAAAGGAAUUCAGGAAUUCCAUUCAAUUUAAAUCACAGUGGACCUGUCUCACACGUUUGCAGAGGCGAGAAACGCACAGGUCAUGGUGAUGAGCUGCAGGCCAAUGUUUAGUAAAAAAAACAAAAUAAUUAACAUAACUUGAGAAAAGCAUUCAUUUCCCCUGUGGGCGAUGGAGGUGCACACUAAUUUAAAAGGCAGCAGGGUGGUCAUGUCUAGAAAACAGGAUUCCUGGUAUUCUUAUUUUGAAACCUCCAGACCUGUAACACACUAUUGGAUGUAAAGAAUCUUCAAAUAGCGCAGACGGCCACCCAUCGCUUCUAGAAAACACGAUUGGCAUUUGACUGAUCAAUUCAUAUUGGCCUUGUUGCAUACCGUUGUGUUUGGAGGGGCUGAAGGGACCUAGAAUUNNNNNNNNNNAGGUGUUUGUUAGCAACAGUAACUGGAACUUUUUGAAGGCAUCCAAU